CACGUAGGGCGCAAGCGUUGUCCGGAAUUAUUGGGCGUAAAGAGCUCGUAGGUGGUUUGUUACGUCCGCUGUGAAAACCCGGGGCUUAACCCCGGGCCUGCAGUGGAUACGGGCAGGCUGGAGGCAGGCAGGGGAGAACGGAAUUCCCGGUGUAGCGGUGAAAUGCGCAGAUAUCGGGAGGAACACCGGUGGCGAAGGCGGUUCUCUGGGCCGAUACUGACGCUGAGGCACGAAAGCGUGGGGAGCGAACAGG
rnacentral:rRNA from 1 species